GUGAAAUGAUGAAUAAGUUUAUCCAUUCGCCGAGUGCCGCUAGCCACUUCUUUCACAGCACGCUGAGUCUGUUUAGGCUCUGGGUGAAUUGCAUUCGUCUUGUACCAUGUGACUUAUUGGCGUUCUGCUGAGAAGUUAUUGGUCCCUGAUUGGGUGUAUGUGAAUGAGAUGGUUUAGCAGAGUUGGGACCCUUUUGGGAUCCAACUCUACAAAGAUGAAUGAUGCAGUCUGAUCAC